rnacentral:rRNA from 1 species
AACACGACACAUCUCCCUCUAACCGGGGCACAACUCCGUGAAAACGGAGCUAAUUCCCCAUAAAAUUUUUGAAAGGCAUCUUUUUAAAAUUAAAAUUCUGAUGGUUAAAGAUGAGUGUGCGUCUGAUUAGCUAGUUGGUAGGGUAACGGCUUACCAAGGCAACGAUCAGUAACUGGUGUGAGAGCACGACCAGUCACACGGGCACUGAGAUACGGGCCCG